GGGUCAGGGGCCGUUGGGCUGGGUUAGGGACUGUCGCUAUGGUGACUCCCCUUCGCCUGCUGUUGGGGAGUGGCUGCGGGACUCCCAAUGGAGAAGGGUCAACAGAACAGGGGGCCACGGCAAUGCCUGGGGAAGGUGCAGGAGCAAUGUGCCUCUUCUUCUCCUAACUUCUCUCAAACACCCAAGAGUUUAUGCGCUCCACAGGAAGGAAUAUUACUCGAUGGUUAAGCAGACAUUAGUGGAUCAUUGUGAAACGUUGAAAAAUAGCUACUCAGUCACCUGGGCUGUUGUCAGGCAUCCUUGCUGCCCAUGAUUCAAAGAUGAGCAACCAGAGUCUCAGGUUACCUAUGUGCAGGUUUGUGAGUGUGACCCCCAGUGUUGAUCUACCCCAGUGGUUCUCAGCCAGAGGUCUGGGGGGCGUGAGUGGGUUUCAAGGGGUCUGCCAAGCAGGGUCAGUGUUAGACUCACUAGGGUCCAGGGCAGAAAGCCCAAGCCCCACCGCUGGGACUGAAGCCUGGGGCCCUGAGCAAUGUAGCUUUGGGGGGGGCCCUGUGGUCUGGGGCCGAAGGCAAUUGCCCUGUUUGUUACCCCCUAAUGCCAGCUUUUACAGCAUGUUAGGGGGGCCUCAAAAGGAAAAAGGUUGAGAACCCGUGAUGUACACCACUCGACCAUUGCUGCAGGACUUUCUUAAUGAUGCAUGAAUGCCUGGGUGUGAGGGGUUUGUUUUAAGUAAGACCACCAUUGCACAAGGACAAUCUCACUCUCUUACCUGCUGGAGUCAAAGGCCAGUGGCAUGUAAGGUCACAAUGACUGAGAACAUCAUUAGCUGCAGUGGAUAGCUGUUGAUAUCUUUUGUGCCUUGUCAGGCAUUAUUUAUUCUACAGUAUGGUGUUGCAAUACCUUUCCAUCUGUUGGUCCAAGAGGUAUCCCUCACCUCAUCUGCCAAAGCAGACGUAGUAUGCUGGGAAUAGGCAUUUCCUCUCAUGUCUACCUGGUUUAAUUCACCAGUGUCCCAAUACGUGGCCGCUACUGCAUACUAGCAACUAUUUGGAGCCAUGGGUAAAAGCUGGAUAAGAAGUGAGGACCAGUGAAAAAGAACCACUCAAAAAGUGUGAUUGUCCUGAUUUUCGGAGGUACUAUCUCUCCUUCUGGGAGCUAUAAUCAAGUAAGCUAGUGAUGGUUGCAUGUUAUUCAAAAAAUACUAUAAUUAUGUUUACCAUAUUCAUAAAAGUAGUUAGUCUGAAGUCUUUGGGAGUACGUGCAUUAGUAGGAUGAGCAUAAUUUGAUCCAUAAUAAGAGAAUCCAUUUAUUUCUAUACCACUCAUCAAUAUAGUAUCUGAGUAUCUAAUUUCAGAGCCAAAUUACACGUUUUUUAGAGUAGCAACAAGACUUUUUAAAAGGUAUAUAAUUUUGCUAGUACCAGAAUACUUCGCUCUUUCAAGCAUGUUCCUUUGUGUUUUGUGCUGCUGGUUGUAUAUCUGGAAACAUGACUUCAGGCCACACGCACAAUUACUGCAAAAAUAUACUCCAUGACAUCAUAUUGCACAGAGAUUAGUUCUUCUAAAAAGUAUUAACAAGUAAUGAGACUGUUUAAGCAUCAUAAUAUUCACUGACACAUAUACCAUAUGGACAAAAGUGCCAACUGCUAACCUUUAACACUUAGGGAAAAAUUUGUAAAACUUAAUCCCUGAUGUAACUCCAUGAAUUUUAUUGGAGUUAUACCAAGGAUGAAUUGACCCAACAUGCCUCCCUGGGUUUUGCAUUCAUAUUUUACUUAAUUUCUCCUGCAGCCUAAGGCAGAUUCUAUUGAGAAAUUCAUUUGGUUUUAAACUCAUAGCUUUCAACUGUAUCGGGUAACAAAGUACAAUCACUCAUUGUAGACCCAAAUGUACCUUUGUCAUACAAACUAGGUCUGAUGCCUGGUUAUUACUGCUAUAAAUUAGUGAUGAUAAAAAUUCUGAACUUUGAAACAAGUUACAUAAAGUGUGAGGCAGAUGCAGUGUGGUUUACAGAAAUGAGUACAGGUUUAGAAGCCAAGAACACCUACAUUCUAAUCCCACCUAAACUUUAUAAAUGUGAAUUAUCCCAUUAAAGUCAAAGGGAGCACAGGUGUAAGUGUCUACAGGAUUGAGACCUUAGUUUCUAUUUUUUACUGGGAUCAAGCUAUUUAAAACACAACUCUUUAGAAAUCUUAGUUAGAUUUUGGGGUAAAGUUUCAGAAGGACUGCUUUAGAGACAGUUUUCGCUAACUCUGAGUCAUUGUCUAGUGGCAGUCAGUGUUUAUUCCAGUACAUGAAAACCUACAGAAGUGUUGAUAGUUAUUACAUGAUGCAUAAACUAUUCAUAGCAAAUAAUUUACCCAAUGAAUGUAGCCCUUAUUUCUUACUCUCAAAUUUUCUUUGAGAAAACUCACCAUGCCACAGCAAAAAGUGCCAUUUUGAGAGGUACCUUAAUAGCCUGUAAUUUUAAUAUAAAAAUAAGUUUAUACUCUUCUGUCAGUAUAUGUGCUCUAUCUGUACUCAGAAAGUAUGAAAAGUAUGUUUCAGCACCAAAUUGGGCUGGGAUCUUAUGACAGGAGUUACAGGAAUGUGUAUUACAAGUCUCAGAACAAUAGUGCCUUGCACCUAACCAGAGAAACUGGUUGUUCUGUUUACGUGAAGUAAAAAGAUAAUCCCUUCCCCAAAUAACUUACAUUCUAGGUUCAUAAUAAGACACACCAGGUGUGAGUGGCCCACAAGGUUUACAGCGAAACAAGCACAUUUUGAAUGAGAAAGAGAAGUAACAAUUUUCUACUUGUCUACCCAUUGUCAGUGGACAGAGUUUUUGCAGACAUCACAGCAGAAAUGAGUCUUAAGGUGGGAUUUGAAAGAAGAUGGCUUUAGGAUGUUUUUGAGGAGUUUCCAGGGGGGAGGGGGCAGCAACGUAUCUGAGGGAGAAGCUGAGAACCUUGGUAGAGCAAAGGUGGUAGUUGACAUCACAAAAAAUCAGUAGAGCAAGUAGGUAUGGCAAGGCUAAAUCCUGAAGGGACUUAAAGACAUAAACAAAUUGUGCGUUUGAUUUAGGGAACAAGGGGAAACCAGUGGACUCCUGAAAAGAGCAGACUGAUGUGGUCAGAGUGAUAAGCCUGGGAAAUUUGGCUUUUGCUUUCAAUCGAUUCCACAAGCAUUACAUUCACUCUCAAAUUGGGGAAAAGGGUAUAUUUUAUUUAAUUGUUUAUAACAGUUAUAUGUCCAGUUAGGGAAAAGAUCUGUGCACCAAAAGCCCUCUUUGAUAAAAAGCUGUGUCGUGCAUAGAGAGAUUUAUGCUGAUUGAUUAAUUCCAGGAAAAUAACUAUGUAUAACACAAACCUCUGCCAGUGUGCUACUAUUAUUAUUUAACUUUCUACCAUGCCAUAGGUGUUUAUUAGCAUUUUACAGAAAAAUAUAAAGGCAAGUGUGACGGUGUUCCCCAUAAGGCUUUGUCGAAAUAUGCUUAUGAAUAUAUAUGACAUAACUAGAAUAUGUUCUAUGCUACAUAUGCCAUGUAACAUAUCUAUGUAAAGGUUAUGAUCUACUGAAUCUAUUGAUCCUAUUUGUAUGCGUGUAGCAUUUUUGUAUGCAAAGUUAUGAAUAUUGGCCGUGUACUGGCUUGAUUUCUAAAUAACCUUAGUAGAGUAUUUGGUCAGUUCCUGGAGAAAGGAAUUGGCAAAGUUAAGUGCCCAAUCAAGAAGCACUUAAGGAACAAUGCAUCUUGGAAUGCUCCAAUCCACAUAAGAAGUCUUCCUGGAGACAUUCAAGAUACCAUGUGGGCAAUGGCUUCUACCUGCAAAAACUGUGAGUCAUGCAUGGACAUGUGACUUGCCCAGGUGACUCCAGAACUCCAUAUUGGAGCUGGACUUCGCACAGGAGAGAGGAGGGGGUCUCCACUCACAAGAGAAAGUCUAUUUAAGCCCGUGGGAGACCCCUCCAUUUUGUCUUCAGCUGGCUAAAGAGAGAGCCUCUCCACCCCCAAGAAAGAAACUGGAACGAAGGGCAAUAACUACAGGGGGUGUGAGUGAUUGCUGGACCCGGACUAGAAGGAGAUCAGUCUGUAAAAGGAAGCUUACUGGAACUGGUGAGAUUUUGUCUGUAUUCAGUUUUAUUAGACAUAGACUUGCGGGUUUUAUUUUAUUUUGCUUGAUAAUUCACUUUCUUCUGUCUGUUAGUACUUGGAAACACUUAAAUCCUACUUUCUGUAUUUAAUAAAAUUACUUUUUACUUAUUAAUUA